AUCCUGAUUCAGGGAAGGGUGCGACAAGAAAUAACAACACUGGAAAUUGUAUUUCUAGUGAUUGGAAUGAUGGGAAUCCAAACCCCUUUCAGAGUAACAAUUGGAGGGCAAGUCUGGUGCCAGCAGCCGCGGUAAUUCCAGCUCCAAUAGCGUAUAUUAAAGUUGUUGCAGUUAAAAAGCUCGUAGUUGGAUAUCUGCUGGAAGCCAUCAGUCCGCCCUUUUGGUAAGGGUGUGCACCUGAUGAAUUAUGGCAUGAUUUCAUCCUAAUAAUAACAUAUUAUUAUAUUAGGUUGAUUCCUAGUAUAAUAAUAUUUCUUAUUACGGGGAUGACAGUUACUUUGAGAAAAUUAGAGUGUUUGAAGCAGGCUUUUGUUGCCUUGAAUACUGCAGCAUGGAAUAACCAUAUAGGAUUUCGGUUCUAUUAUUUUGUUGGUUUUUUCGGUAGGACUGAAAUAAUGAUUAAUAGGGACAGUUGGGGGCAUUCGUAUUUAACUGUCAGAGGUGAAAUUCUUAGAUUUGUUAAAGACGAACUACUGCGAAAGCAUUUGCCAAAGAUGUUUUCAUUAAUCAAGAACGAAAGUUAGGGGCUCGAAGACGAUCAGAACCGUCGUAGUCUUAACCAUAAACUAUGCCGACUAGAGAUAGGAAAAU
rnacentral:rRNA from 1 species